ACAGUCUCCUGUGGUUUUUAUCCGGUUGGCUGCUGCGGGAGCGGGCUCGCGCCCGGGCGGCUCCGUAAAAGAAAAAAAAAAACGGUGUGACAGCUCAGAGCUGUCCACGUCAACAUACCGAGUGAGCUGCGAGCGAGCACGGCGGCGGCAGCAGCAGCGAUGGACUCUCUGGAACCUUCCCUCUAUACAGUGAAAGCUGUUUUCAUUCUUGACAAUGAUGGCAACAGACUUCUGUCAAAGUACUAUGACCCUGAGCUUUACCCCUCCAUGAAGGAACAGAAGAACUUUGAGAUGAACGUUUUCAACAAGACACACAAAGCAGACAAUGAGAUAGCUUUCCUGGAGGGGAUGACCAUCGUCUAUAAGAGCAGUAUAGAUCUCUUCUUCUAUGUGGUGGGAAGUGCCCAGGAGAACGAGCUGAUGCUGAUGUCAGUGCUGAACUGCCUCUUUGAGUCCCUCAGUCAGAUCCUCAGGAAAAAUGUGGAGCGGAGGUGUUUACUAGACAACAUGGAAGGAGUGUUUCUGGUUGUGGAUGAAAUCAUUGAUGGAGGGGUGAUUCUGGAGAGUGACCCCCAGCAGGUCCUACAGAAGGUCAACUACAGGCUAAUGUCAGAGCCAGCCUAUGGCUUCGUCCUGUUUGAUUACAUCACCGGUAACGUAGAGGGAGAAACAGUCAAGAGCCAGCUGCUGUAAGCAGACAGACAGAGGGCGGAUGAAAACCCAUUAUCUGAACAAAGCGUGGCCCAGCACAUAACAGAGAAACUGGUUCUGACCACUAACGUUCUGCAGUCGGCCAAAGAGCAGAUCAAAUGGUCCAUUCUGAAAUGACUCGGACCAGACACAUUUAGGAUUCUCAUGAAA